rnacentral:tRNA from 1 species
GGGGGAUUAGUUAAGAAUAACGCUAUCUUGUCAAGAUAAAGUCACCGGUUAGACCCCAGUAUUCCUCU